rnacentral:lncRNA from 1 species
CAGCUCUAUGCUAACUUGCGUGAGACAUCUGUGCACAAUCCAUCCAGCUGUGAUUAAAUUCCUGGUUUCAGUGUUUGUGUGUGUGUGUUUCAAUUCAAAAAUUAAAGGCAAAUUCCUGUGGAAAGAGAUACUUGGAAAACGUCUGCAAAGCUAAAAACGCUGGACAUUUUAUAUGAAACAAGCAUAAGAAGACUCCAAAAGGUAGAGACAAGGCAGAAUUGCUGGGGAACUUGAGACCAAAGGAACAACACAUUGGUCAGUCUGAUAUCCACCACCCAGUUCUCCAGGUGGAAGAAUAAUCAAAGAGCCUUGGGGGAAAGAGGGAUUCUCAUGGUUGAAGAUGAUGAAGAUGUGAAGGCUGGAUUUGAUAAUGAAGAGUCUUCUUUGUGUUCUCUCAUUAUUUAUGCCACAUCUGCCUCUCAGCAUUUGUGUCAAUGAGUCACUGUAAUUACAGCCGUUGGAUAAUUUCCUCCGUUUUACAACACAAACCCGACUGUGUGAGUGCUCCAUCAGAGAAAAACAUUUAUUUCCUUGCAGCACCAUCAGGCAGCAAGGUCCAGCUUU